rnacentral:rRNA from 1 species
GUGGGUAACCUACCCUGUACACACGGAUAACAUACCGAAAGGUAUGCUAAUACGGGAUAAUAUAUUUGAGAGGCAUCUCUUGAAUAUCAAAGGUGAGCCAGUACAGGAUGGACCCGCGUCUGAUUAGCUAGUUGGUAAGGUAACGGCUUACCAAGGCGACGAUCAGUAGCCGACCUGAGAGGGUGAUCGGCCACAUUGGAACUGAGACACGGUCCAAACUCCUACGGGAGGCAGCAGUGGGGAAUAUUGCACAAUGGGCGAAAGCCUGAUGCAGCAACGCCGCGUGCGUGAUGAAGGCCUUCGGGUCGUAAAACUCUGUCCUCAAGGAAGAUAAUGACGGUACUUGAGGAGGAAGCCCCGGCUAACUACGUGCCAGCAGCCGCGGUAAUACGUAGGGGGCUAGCGUUAUCCGGAUUUACUGGGCGUAAAGGGUGCGUAGGCGGUCUUUCAAGUCAGGAGUGAAAGGCUACGGCUCAACCGUAGUAAGCUCUUGAAACUGGGAGCCUUGAGUGCAGGAGAGGAGAGUGGAAUUCCUAGUGUA